AUUGAACGCUGGCGGCAGGCCUAACACAUGCAAGUCGAACGGUAACAGGAUGAAUCUUGCUUCUUUGCUAACGGGUGGCGGGCGGGUGAGUCAUGUGUGGGCAACUGCUUGAUGGAGGGGGAUCACUACUGGCAACGGUAGCUACUACCGCGUAACGUCGCAAGAACAAGGAGGGGGACCUUCGUGCCUCUUGCCGUCGGAUGUGCCCCGGGUGGGUUAGCUAGUCGGGGGGGUGACGGCUCACCUGGCCGGCGAUAUCUAGGCGGUCACAGAGGAUGACCAGCCACACUGGAACUGAGACACGGUCCAGACGCCUACGGGAGGCAGCAGUGGGGAAUAGUGGACAAUGGGCGAAAGCCUGAUGCAGCCAUGCCGCGUGUAUGAAGAAGGCCUUCGGGUUGUAAAGUACUUUCAGCGGGGAGGAAGGGAGUAAACUUAAUACCGUUGGUGAAUGACGGUACCGGCAGAAGAAGCACCGGCUAACUCCGUG
rnacentral:rRNA from 1 species